CUUUGCUAUUCGAAGAACUUAAACGACCGUUUUCAUACCAUUAAUAAGGUGGAAGCAGAGGCUAUAAACGCUCGCAACCUCCAUUUAUCGAGCCAUUUUUCACUAGCCCCUUUUAAUCCUUGUCAUGCUACUCACCCUCUUUUCGAACAACUUUGGCCAUCAGUGAAACGCAGAUUAUUUGCGACUGAGGCCAAUCGUGCCUUUCAUUCAUUAGACCAACCGAGUAUUUCUUCUCCUCCUCCUGUUUUGGUCACUCCUUUGUCUAUUCGGAACCCUUCUCCUUCUCGUCGUACUAAACAAUCUGCUCGUCCAUCUUCUUCCCUCCCUGCCAAGCCAACUAUGGCCAAGAGUGUUCCAAGCCGCAAACGGCCAGCUUCAGCAUUUCCAUCUUGUAUACAAUGAAGUUCAAUUUUUCUCGCCCUUCUUUGAAUUACGGGCAAUAUGAUUCCGUAUUCACAAGUAGACUUCCAAUCCAAGAUUUUAGAGUACCCUGAAGCCAUUUGGGCCAACUCAUUCGCCACGUCGUUAUAUAUCCUAUUGACGCAUUGAAGUUUUACUUGGUCGAAUUCCUCUAAUAACUCUUGGGCGAUCUCAUAUUGACUCAUAAUGGAAUCGCUUUGGCAUUUAAAAUCACCAAUCAAUUGAUGUAUCACCAAUUGAGAAUCGCCCUUAACGAUNCCUCUUUUCGAACAACUUUGGCCAUCGGUGAAGCGCAGAUUAUUUGCGACUGAGGCCAACCGUGCCUUUCAUUCAUUAGAUCAACCGAGUAUUUCUUCUCCUCCUCCUGUUUUGGCCCCUCCUUUGUCUAUUCGGAACCCUUCUCCUUCUCGUCGUACUAAACAAUCUGCUCGUCCAUCUUCUUCCCUCCCUGCCAAGCCAACUAUGGCCAAGAGUGUUCCAAGCCGCAAACGGCCAGCUUCAGCAUCUCCCAUUCUGGAGGAUGAUGUUGAUGAUGAUGAUGAUGAUGUCCCUCUUAUCGUUAAAAGGAAGGUAUUUAAAUUGGCCUAUUUACAAGUAUGCUCUUCCCCAUCUGAAAAUUUUCUGUGUACUGAUGAUCUUUUGGACUUUUCAGAAAAGCUCAGCUUCCCCUUCAAAGGCUUUGGCAUUACCAACUCCUGUUCCAUCAUCCCCUGUUGAGGCUACUUCAUCCAAACCGGUUGAUGAUGGGACCAUGCUUAAAGGUAUAUCUUCAGUCCCAGAUUCUUCAUCACAACUCAUGAAUGAGCCACCUUCCUCCCAGGGCGUCUACCCCCCAAUCACCGAAGCAGAAGGUAGUUCAGUUUUUGAUGUCUUACCUUUGCUCGUGCUAUUGGUUUCUGACUGGUUGCUCUUUGAACUUUGUAGAUACUCCCAUGAGUCCGCCCGUUGUGGCAACGUCUUCUCGCUCGGACAAGGGAAAAUCCUCACAAAUGGACGAGUCAUUGGUGGCCAGCUUGGCUGAGGGUGCACCAUCUUCUACGAUCGUCGACGAGGUAGUUUUUCUCUUUGCCCCAUUCCUAUUUCCAACUUGUUCGUUGUAACGAAUAUUUUUAAUGUUGGCAAUCUUCUUUGCAGGAUGCUGACAGGAUUGUUCGUUCUAUCCAGGAUUUGUUCGCUUCCUGGGGGCAGGUCCAAAUGCCUCGCCCUACUCCAUAUGAUCGUCCUGCUGCUUCUUCAGAAGAGGACUUG
rnacentral:lncRNA from 1 species